AGCCAUGUGGUGAAUACAAAGCGAACUAUUUUUUCGCCUUUUACCAAAUAAUACCAUUGGUUCUCUACGCUAAGUGGCAUACGCCUAUUUUUGGAGGUUUCCAUUUUUGAGUGGACC
rfam:Brassica oleracea var. oleracea cultivar TO1000 chromosome C3, whole genome shotgun sequence